AUACGGAGGACGCGAGCGUUAUCCGGAUUCAUUGGGUUUAAAGGGUGCGCAGGCGGCCGUGCAAGUCAGCGGUGAAAGCCCGGGGCUCAACCCCGGAAGUGCCGUUGAUACUGCAUGGCUGGAAUGCGGUCGAGGCGGGCGGAACGUGGCGUGUAGCGGUGAAAUGCGUAGAUAUGCCACAGAACGCCGAUGGCGGGGGCAGCUGGCCAGGCCUGCAUGGACGCGCGGGCACGAAAGCGUGGGGAUCGAACAGGAUUAGAUACCCUGGUAGUCCACGCCGUAAACGAUGGGCGCUCGUCGUCGGCGGCAGACAGUCGGCGGCCAAGCGAAAGCGAUAAGCGCCCCACCUGGGGAGUACGGUCGCAAGGCUGAAACUCAAAUGAAUUGACGGGG
rnacentral:rRNA from 1 species